rnacentral:lncRNA from 1 species
UUCAACUUCAGAGAAGGAAGAAGAUGAAGGUAUGUUCUUUCAGAUUUUUCUAUUUUCCAUGCCCACGGUAUUGAUCAACUCAUGUUUUAGGUCCUUCUUUUUAAUUCAACUUAUAUUCCCAUAAGUGGCUCCUUGGUUGAAAGCUUGUAUUGCUUUGGUUUGCUCCCUUUGAUGCAUUCCCUACUUGUUUGCACUUUGCCUUGGUGUAGUAUAAUCGUCCUUUGCUUGGGAGCUUUAUCCUCGGGAUGACCAUCCUUGAUUUUACCCAUAGGUGGCCCUCUAGGUUGAACAAUAGAGUGGAGUUAUCCCCUAAUGCAGGCAUCGGCUUGCUUCUUUGCUUUGGAAUUCAAAUGUGAUCUCCGAUGUAGUCAUAUUUUGUAUAUAAUGCUGCUUUUAU